UUCCGGUUGAUCCUGCCGGAGGUCAUUGCUAUUGGAGUCCGAUUUAGCCAUGCUAGUCGUACGAGCUUAGACUCGUGGCGAAUAGCUCAGUAACACGUGGCCAAACUACCCUGUCGAUCGGGAUAACCUCGGGAAACUGAGGCUAAUACCGAAUACGGCUCGAUGCCUGGAAUUGGCUCGAGCUCGAAACGCUACGGCGCGACAGGAUGUGGCUGCGGCCGAUUAGGUAGACGGUGGGGUAACGGCCCACCGUGCCGAUAGUCGGUACGGGUUGUGAAAGCAAGAGCCCGGAGACGGAAUCUGAGACAAGAUUCCGGGCCCUACGGGGCGCAGCAGGCGCGAAACCUUUACACUGCACGAGAGUGCGAUAGGGGGACUCCAAGUGCGAGGGCAUACAGUCCUCGCUUUUGUACACCGUAAGGUGGUGUACGAAUAAGUGCUGGGCAAGACCGGUGCCAGCCGCCGCGGUAAUACCGGCAGCACGAGUGAUGACCGCUAUUAUUGGGCCUAAAGCGUCCGUAGCCGGCCGGGCAAGUCCAUCGGGAAAUCCGCACGCCUAACGUGCGGGCGUCCGGUGGAAACUGCUUGGCUUGGGACCGGAAGACCCGGGGGGUACGUCUGGGGUAGGAGUGAAAUCCCGUAAUCCUGGACGGACCGCCGGUGGCGAAAGCGCCUCGGGAAGACGGAUCCGACGGUGAGGGACGAAAGCUAGGGUCACGAACCGGAUUAGAUACCCGGGUAGUCCUAGCCGUAAACGAUGUCUGCUAGGUGUGGCGCUGGCUACGAGCCAGCGCUGUGCCGUAGGGAAGCCGUGAAGCAGACCGCCUGGGAAGUACGUCUGCAAGGAUGAAACUUAAAGGGAUUGGCGGGGGAGCACUACAACCGGAGGAGCCUGCGGUUUAAUUGGAUUCAACGCCGGA
rnacentral:rRNA from 1 species